rnacentral:tRNA from 1 species
ACCUGGCUGGCUCAGUUGGUAGAGCAUGAAACUCUUGAUCUCAGGGUCAUGAGUUCAAGCCCCACUCUAGGUA